AGGACGAACGCUGGCGGCGUGCCUAAUACAUGCAAGUCGAGCGGAAAUUUAUUGGUGCUUGCACCUUAAAAUUUAGCGGCGGACGGGUGAGUAACACGUGGGUAACCUACCUAUAGAUUGGGAUAACUCCGGGAAACCGGGGCUAAUACCGAGUAAUACUUUUUUAACACAUGUUUUUGAAGUUGAAAGACGGUUUCGGCUGUCACUAUAAGAUGGACCCGCGGCGCAUUAGCUAGUUGGUGAGGUAACGGCUCACCAAGGCAACGAUGCGUAGCCGACCUGAGAGGGUGAUCGGCCACACUGGGACUGAGACACGGCCCAGACUCCUACGGGAGGCAGCAGUAGGGAAUCUUCCACAAUGGACGAAAGUCUGAUGGAGCAACGCCGCGUGAAGUGAAGAAGGAUUUCGGUUCGUAAAACUCUGUUGCAAGGGAAGAACAAGUAGCGUAGUAACUGGCGCUACCUUGACGGUACCUUGUUAGAAAGCCACGGCUAACUACGUGCCAGCAGCAGC
rnacentral:rRNA from 1 species